UGAGUAACCUGCCCUUAACUCUGGGAUAAGCCUGGGAAACUGGGUCUAAUACCGGAUAUGACUCCUCAUCGCAUGGUGGGGGGUGGAGAGCUUUUUGUGGUUUUGGAUGGACUCGCGGCCUAUCAGCUUGUUGGUGAGGUAAUGGCUCACCAAGGCGACGACGGGUAGCCGGCCUGAGAGGGUGACCGGCCACACUGGGACUGAGACACGGCCCAGACUCCGUACGGGAGGCAG
rnacentral:rRNA from 1 species